rnacentral:rRNA from 1 species
GUAGGGAAUCUUCGGCAAUGGACGAAAGUCUGACCGAGCAACGCCGCGUGAGUGAAGAAGGUUUUCGGAUCGUAAAACUCUGUUGGUAGAGAAGAACGUUGGUGAGAGUGGAAAGCUCAUCAAGUGACGGUAACUACCCAGAAAGGGACGGCUAACUACGUGCCAGCAGCCGCGGUAAUACGUAGGUCCCGAGCGUUGUCCGGAUUUAUUGGGCGUAAAGCGAGCGCAGGUGGUUUAUUAAGUCUGGUGUAAAAGGCAGUGGCUGAACCAUUGUAUGCAUUGGAAACUGGUAGACUUGAGUGCAGGAGAGGAGAGUGGAAUUCCAUGUGUAGCGGUGAAAUGCGUAGAUAUAUGGAGGAACACCGGUGGCGAAAGCGGCUCUCUGGCCUGUAACUGACACUGAGGCUCGAAAGCGUGGGGAGCAAACGGGAUUAGAUACCCGUGUACC